UACGUAGGGAGCAAGCGUUGUCCGGAAUCAUUGGGCGUAAAGCGCGCGUAGGCGGCCUCAUAAGUCCGUUGUGAAAGUCAAAGGCUACAACCUUUGAAAGCCGAUGGAUACUGUGAGGCUAGAGUCCGGAAGAGGCGAGUGGAAUUCCUGGUGUAGCGGUGGAAUGCGCAGAUAUCAGGAGGAACACCAAUAGCGAAGGCAGCUCGCUGGGACGGUACUGACGCUAAGGCGCGAAAGCGUGGGGAGCCGAACAGG
rnacentral:rRNA from 1 species